AUUGAACGCUGGCGGCAGGCCUAACACAUGCAAGUCGGACGGUGGCACAGAGAGCUUGCUCUUGGGUGACGAGUGGCGGACGGGUGAGUAAUGUCUGGGGAUCUGCCCGAUAGAGGGGGAUAACCACUGGAAACGGUGGCUAAUACCGCAUAACGUCGCAAGACCCAAGAGGGGGACCUUCGGGCCUCUCACUAUCGGAUGAACCCAGAUGGGAUUAGCUAGUAGGCGGGGUAAUGGCCCACCUAGGCGACGAUCCCUAGCUGGUCUGAGAGGAUGACCAGCCACACGGGAACUGAGACACGGUCCAGACUCCGACGGGAGUCAGCGGUGGGGAAUAUUGCACAAUGGGCGCAAGCCUGAUGCAGCCAUGCCGCGUGUAUGAAGAAGGCCUUCGGGUUGUAAAGUACUUUCAGCGGGGAGGAAGGCGAUGCGGUUAAUAACCGCGUCGAUUGACGUUACCCGCAGAAGAAGCACCGGCUAACUCCGUGCCAGCCGCCGCGGUAA
rnacentral:rRNA from 1 species